CUGUUCAUUACUUCGAAAGAUUAAUUAAGCAAUUAUUUUUAUCUUAAAACAAUAACGAUUUUCUCUUAAGUUAUGUAAGAGAUAAUAGAGAGAUAGAUGGUGUCGCGUGUGAUAAUAUUCUGUACUUAAGCGAACCGCAUUUAUUUUGCAAUUAUUUAUUUAUUGCUCUUACAUUCAGUAUCAUGUCUACGGGAAUUUUUAUCUGCUUAACAGUUUUAGUUAUACAUAACGCAACAGCUCAAUUUAGAGUCCCAGAACUACCAUCACAGACAUUACCAACAUUACAGAAUCAUAACUUACAAAAUAUUUGGUCGUUGGGGUCUCUGUCAUCUCUAACACCUAGAAUGAAGUUAGUGUCGCAACGUCAUCAGUAUAUCAUAAAAAAACCCCAAAAGAAAAUUAAUAAGCGCCAGUUAAUGGCGGAAUUAUUCAAGCAAUCGGCCAUUAAAAAUAUACAAGAUGCUGCCAGUAUUUGUAAUCGA